CAGUUGGCUUGUAGAACUCUGGAAGAAGGAGAAUACCCCGGCCCAGUUCUCCUGCUUAGAGAUCUGGGAGGACACUGUUGUGAUUUCGACUGUCCUGUCUUUUUGCAGCAGUAUUACGAUGUCCCACCUUGGAAGAGCCUUUUCUGGGAUAAAGCUCCUGUUAAAUUAUAAUUUCCUCGUAGGAAAGACAGGACUCCAGCUGCCACCACAUUGUUUCCCUUAUCGUGAAUCCUUCCAGCAACUAACUGUUCACUGAAGUCAUGACAGGCCCCUGAAGAUGAAGGCCUUCCUGGACGAAGCAAUACCAGGGAGAGAGGUAGAUGGCAGCAUUGAGUCAGAGUCCUGAAAGGUCAAGCUCGGCGUCUUUCUUUCUUGGCUCCAUUUUCUAUACUUGGAUGGCUGCUGCCUGGGUGGUUGGAAGCACAGGAGAUACUGCUUAGUUGGAAACACAGAGUGAGGACUCUGCAGUGACUUGGUUCCCCUUUUCUCCUAAGCUCCGCGUCUGCAUCCUUUCUACCAUUUCCUGAGAUGUCGCAUCUACUCUGGAGGGAAGCUAUCAAUGAAAGGAGACUGGGAGGGGGUUGGGGGUGGGCAACAGGAGCUGAGGUCAGCCGCUCAGUGGGGAAAGUAUUCCUCUUUGCGCAGUGCUUCUUCUGGUGCUCCCUGGCCUAGGUAGUCUCCCUGAUAUUUGUUUCUAUUUCUGCCUCCAAUCACAGCAUCUCUUUUGUAGUCACAGUUGGUGGAGGCUGCCUCUCUCCUUUCCCAGUCAGUGUGCAUUACAGAUGUGCUACCAGGAUGCCUCAGCCCGUCCUCAUAGUAGCUGAGUGGGCGUAGCAAAUCACCCACGUAUCCAGAUGUGUCCCACACACAGUAGUUCCCAUGCUUACCACAAAGUAAGCAAGUUUAGGAAGCACUAUGCUAUAUCUUGUGUUUUCACCCUACAAAAUAUGGAUGUCUUUCUCUGCCUGCUGCUCUGUCUCUUGUCUUCCUUUUUUUUCUUCUGUUCACAGAGCAGAAUGGACAAGUCCAGGUGUCAAACACACUCGAGGUGCAUCAUCCGGUAGCUCAGAUAGAAGGAAGAGAAACACUUUGCUUCAUUUGGAUACUGCUGCCCCGUAGUUAAUUCCAGGAAUCUCAAUGCCAAUAGUGCUCUUUCUCCAAAGCUUCUCCACUGGCCAUCAGGAAAGGAGUUUAUAGCAUUACCAGUCUCUUACCUUUGCUCCUAAACAUUGCUUCUGCUAGAAAUAGCAAGAUUCCAGCUCCACUUCAGCUCCCACCACCUGGUCCCUGGCGUUUAGUCUUUGUCAGUGUCACAGCUCCAUCCUCUACUUGUGAGCUACUCCCAAGAGAAAUUCUUCUUCACCAAACACUUGGAGUGUAAUACUAGGCCUGGAAUGUAACAUUCAGGAUAUGUUCUCAAGGUCAAGCCCUGAUACCGACUUGUUUCUCAAUCCUGGACUCACUCCAUCAUCUCCCUACCACUUUCUCUUGAGCUCUUGGAGAGCAAGGCACUGUCCCUCAUGCACUCGUGUUAUCUCUUGAGUUCCAGUUCAGGAUGUGGCAUGCACCCCCAACACAAAAUUUUUGGAAUAAAAUUAUUUCAGAAGGCCCUGCACAAA